AUGUACGGAAUCCUUUAGAGAUAGAGGAGUGCUCGAAAGAGAGCCGUAACACAGGUGCUGCAUGGCUGUCGUCAGCUCGUGUCGUGAGAUGUUGGGUUAAGUCCCGCAACGAGCGCAACCCUUGUCAUUAGUUGCUACAUUCAGUUGGGCACUCUAAUGAGACUGCCGGUGACAAACCGGAGGAAGUGGGGAUGACGUCAAGUCCUCAUGGCCCUUAUAGGUGGGGCUACACACGUCAUACAAUGGAUGGUACAAAGGGUCGCCAACCCGCGAGGGGGAGCCAAUCCCAUAAAGCCAUUCGUAGUCCGGAUCGCAGUCUGCAACUCGACUGCGUGAAGUCGGAAUCGCUAGUAAUCGUGGAUCAGAAUGUCACGGUGAAUACGUUCCCGGGUCCU
rnacentral:rRNA from 1 species